UACGAAGGGGGCUAGCGUUGCCCGGAAUUACUGGGCGUAAAGGGCGCGUAGGCGGAUAGCUAAGUCAGAGGUGAAAGCCCAGGGCUCAACCUUGGAAUUGCCUUUGAUACUGGCUGUCUUGAGUAUGGGAGAGGUGUGUGGAAAUCCGAGUGUAGAGGUGAAAUUCGUAGAUAUUCGGAAGAACACCAGUGGCGAAGGCGGGUCUCUGGACAGUUCCUGACGCUGAGGCACGAAGGUCAGGGGAGCAAACGGG
rnacentral:rRNA from 1 species